rnacentral:sRNA from 1 species
GCAGCCGCGGCGGGUGUGGCCAGCGCGGAGGCAGGACGCCGCCGAGCCUCCAACUUUACCUUUCCAACUCCGACAGCCCGUCGCCUUUCUGACCACGUCCCUACGGUUUCCCGGCAUCCGCCUCCCUCACCCCACCACACCUGAGGAAAACUUUUCCCUCGCCCCUCAAUUCAAAUUCAGCAGUGCCCACGGUUGCCGCAAACCGCCCGGUCCCUAGCAACAAGGUUCCGGCCGUAGAGCGAGAGCCUCUAGGUGUAAGGAAGGUGAUGUCGUAAAGCCGGGAGUGUCGUAAACCAGUUUUCAGUUUAAAUUCUCAACUGGCAAUUGGCCGAAAACUCCCAUCUGAAGACAUGAUCAUCCAAAUGUCAUUUUGUGAUUUGGCUACUGUCUGCUUGACAUAGGAAAGCACUAUCAAGAAAGACUAAUGGAGUGACUAUCAAAAGGAAGUCAAUGGACAACCUUAAACUUCCACCACAAGAGGAAUAUAAAGAGGUCCCUCCUGCACCAAGAAAGAUCUGCAGAUCUUUUUCAGUGUUCUUGGAGGUGUGGGGUGUGAGAACUUGAUCAGUUUGUGUCAGCCACCUUGUUCUCUAAAGGGAAAGCCCCUCAAACCAUUUUGUAUUCUGUAUUACACUUCAGAAAGUGUGGAAGCAAAGGUCAUCUAAUCUUUAAAAGUUACAAAUUAUAAUACUGUGGUAGAAACAAAUUCAGAUUCAGAUGAUGAAGACAAACUGCAUAUUGUGGAAGAAGAAAGUGUUACAGAUGCAGCUGACUGUGAAGGUGUACCAGAGGAUGACCUGCCAACAGACCAGACAGUGUUACCAGGGAGGAGCAGUGAAAGAGAAGGGAAUGCUAAGAACUGCUGGGAGGAUGACACAGGAAAGGAAGGGCAAGAAAUCCUGGGGCCUGAAGCUCAGGCAGAUGAAGCAGGAUGUACAGUAAAAGAUGAUGAAUGCGAGUCAGAUGCAGAAAAUGAGCAAAACCAUGAUCCUAAUGUUGAAGAGUUUCUACAACAACAAGACACUGCUGUCAUUUUUCCUGAGGCACCUGAAGAGGACCAGAGGCAGGGCACACCAGAAGCCAGUGGUCAUGAUGAAAAUGGAACACCAGAUGCAUUUUCACAAUUACUCACCUGUCCAUAUUGUGAUAGAGGCUAUAAACGCUUUACCUCUCUGAAAGAACACAUUAAAUAUCGUCAUGAAAAGAAUGAAGAUAACUUUAGUUGCUCCCUGUGCAGUUACACCUUUGCAUACAGAACCCAACUUGAACGUCACAUGACAUCACAUAAAUCAGGAAGAGAUCAAAGACAUGUGACGCAGUCUGGGUGUAAUCGUAAAUUCAAAUGCACUGAGUGUGGAAAAGCUUUCAAAUACAAACAUCACC